GACGAACGCUGGCGGCGUGCUUAACACAUGCAAGUCGUACGGUAAGGCCCUUUCGGGGGUCCACGAGUGGCGAACGGGUGAGUAACACGUGAGUAACCUGCCCACAACUUUGGGAUAACGCUAGGAAACUGGUGCUAAUACUGGAUAUGUGCUCCUGCUGCAUGGUGGGGGUUGGAAAGCUCCGGCGGUUGUGGAUGGACUCGCGGCCUAUCAGCUUGUUGGUGGGGUAGUGGCCUACCAAGGCGGCGACGGGUAGCCGGCCUGAGAGGGUGACCGGCCACAUUGGGACUGAGAUACGGCCCAGACUCCUACGGGAGGCAGCAGUGGGGAAGAUUGCACAAUGGGCGCAAGCCUGAUGCAGCAACGCCGCGUGCGGGAUGACGGCCUUCGGGUUGUAAACCGAUUUCAGCAGGGACGAAGCUUUUUGUGACGGUACCUGCAGAAGAAGCACCGGCUAACUACGUG
rnacentral:rRNA from 1 species